rnacentral:RNase_P_RNA from 1 species
GAAGCUGACCAGACAGUCGCCGCUUCGUCGUCGUCCUCUUCGGGGGAGACGGGCGGAGGGGAGGAAAGUCCGGGCUCCAUAGGGCAGGGUGCCAGGUAACGCCUGGGGGGGAAACCCACGACCAGUGCAACAGAGAGCAAACCGCCGAUGGCCCGCGUAAGCGGGAUCAGGUAAGGGUGAAAGGGUGCGGUAAGAGCGCACCGCGCGGCUGGUAACAGUCCGUGGCACG